AAUGACUAAGAAGGAUCAAACAGAACAAAAAGUUUGAGUGGGAUAUAAGCCUUGGGCGUCAGCUCUCCCCUCCUUAGGGAAAUCUGGUCAAUCAGAGAAAGGAUGGGUAUUAUUAUUGCAUUUUACAGAUGAGGAAUAUGAAGGCUGUUUCCUGAGGACCGAAUCUUGGUCUAAUUCUUCUUUUACCAGGCUGUAGUUUUCAGGUGAUGGCACUGCCCAGUCUGGGCAGGGGAGGGGCGCUUGUUAGCUUGAAAGAGUCGGCCCUGUUCCUUUCUGGAAGUCAUGGGACAGGGAACUGAGAAUUGGGUUUCUGGCAUGUGUCUGCCACUCAGCUGUCACCUUCGUUGAGCCCUGAGGAGAGAUCUAGGAAAUGACCAGCCCAUCUAAACAUCCGAGACUCCCAGCUUGGUUGCCAAAGAAGUCAUCACAAGUAUUCAAAAGAUGUCCCUGUUCAGCCACUCCAAUAGCCCAGUCAACACAGCUGCUAAGACCGUUUAAAAACCCAACAGAUAUUUGGGUUUGUGGACAUGAAACACGCCUUCUGGGUAAACUUGCUCCUCUGGUUAAAAGGAUAAAAAGGACCUCAGCUUUGGAACAGCCUCUUAACGGGUAUUUUUCUCCACCUGUUCUUGCAUAUUUCUACACCAGAAGGGGGUUGCAGUCACCUCUCCCAGGCUCUCCAGUGUAUGUCCCUCAUAAGCUCUGGCCUCUGGCAUUGUGCAGGUCACGGCAACACCUGGAAAGCUGGUUGGUUUCCUGGAGGGCCCACCACCUGUGGUUCCAGCACCCACUUGAGGUUCUGUUCAUACUGAAUUAGAUAAUGGGGAGGUGAGGGAAUGUAGAAGGAGAAAGAAAAAGAAACAGCCAAGUGAGGAGAAUAGGAAAUGGUCUUCUCAACUUCUCAUGGGAUGUCUGCAUGGCCAACACACUCUUGCCUCCAUGUUUUCAUUUAUUAUUGGGACUAUACCCUUCUGGCUGGAGCUGAUUAUUAACAUUCAUAUUCUUUAAGGACUUGGAAUGAAAACCAGAACUCUGGUUCUCUAAUUAGCCUGUGCUGAACCAUGCAGAGCCAGAGAAUGGUGCAGCCAUUCUCUACCAUUCUAAUACUGAUAUAGAAAACAUUUGAUCUGGAGAAAAGGGGAAACUGGGAGAAAGGGAGAGAGGGAGAGAGAGAGAGAUAAAGAGAGAGAAGCAAGUGACCAUGCAGAGCUUCUAGAAAGAUAUAUGGAAUAACUUGAUUGCUGAUGCUCCAUUUUCUGGUGCAAGUCUUUUAUGAGGCCCAGAUGCAUUUCUGGCCCUGGGGUUCCCAUGAGACACUCUAUGUCCUUCCAGUAAAUUCUGUAUUUUGCUUCAACUAGUUUAAGUAAGUAUCUCUUCCUUGUUACCAGAGAGUCUGGACUAAGGCUUGUUUCUAAAUGGUCCACACUGGCCCACCUCCUACUCUGAUUCCAAAAUGAAGUUUCUCCCUCAGGACUGUCUUAAGCGGACCUUGAGUCUCUCAGUUUUUCAAGGUUUAGCCUUUCUGGGCACCCCUCCCUCUUUCUGGGUUUUAGCCUAGUCCUGUCUUCUCUUAAGCUGCUUAGGGCUCUUGGUCCAGCACCAGCUAAAAUGAAAAUAACCAGACCACUUGGGUGCCACCUGGUUUGGAGUUAAAAUGAAGUCCUGGUUUUCGUAUUUGAGGUAGUAAUGUGAUUUAACAGAACAUAUCCAGUUUCUUUUCAGCAUGCUACACUUGGUGGCUUUAGAUAACUUAGGCGUUUCACAUGUAUUUUAACUUAAUUAUGAAAUGGAAGUGGCCUCCUAGUUGCUGUGUAAGCAUGAUAUCUGAAACAUAGUAGACACUCAGUAAAUGAAUGCCGAGUAAAUGAAAUGAAUGAAUGAUCCUCUUUAUCCAUGAGAAAGAGGGGGAAGAAUUUCAAUAAACUGGAGUUUUUUAGUGGGGGAAAAAAAAAGGUGUCAGGGAAAUGUACCUGACCACAAAAGGCUUUUGUCCUUCAACUCUUUAAGCAAGAAAACCCUAAUCAUAAUGGAUUGAACAUAUUAGAAUGUGAUUAUGUAGCGCAGCGGUCUUUAGCUGCAGGAGGUCUUGUAAUUUGCAUUCACAAAAUGGCCUGCCUAGAAGAAAGCAGCCUGGGUGCCUGAUGAGGACACAGAGUUUCACAGUUGGGGGUUGGUGUAGGUCCGACCUUAGCAGAAGGAAAUAAUUAAACAUUCGUUUCCUAAAAACAGCACACAGAAUUGGGAGCCAAUCAUCUUUGUUGCAACCACUCUCGGAUUCUGCCCUUUGGUUGGCCACUUAGUAGCAAUGUUCCAUUCCAGUCAAGGAGGGAUCAGCUUGCUCUCAGCUUUGGUCCUAAUUUCUAAACAAGCACAAGCCCUGCUCAAAAAAGUAAACUGGAAUAAAUGUUUUUCCAUUUCUUCAUGACUCUGUAGAUGAAGCCAAAAUAUUAAGGACAUAUUUUCUUAAACGAAAAUAAUUCUGCCUAGCUUUACCACAAAUUUCUAGAUCUGGAAUUUUAAUUUCAAUCUUAAGGAACUGCCAAACCAAAAAAUACUGCAAAUGUAAGAAUGUGAUUUGACUAUAAAACUAAGGCAAGGUUGCACUACCUUCUCUACGUUCUCUCUCUCUCAACAUUCUAGGAGAAAAACAUUCCUCAACUGCAGUAUUUUCUAUCCUCUUAUGAACCAUCUCCUUUUAGCCUUUUGUCUUUUACUAAUACUUUCUUAAUAUCAAAUCACAGGAGUAGCCUGGGCACCCUGAAACAUUUCAUAUCAGAAGAGGGGAAGCUGCACAUGCUAUUCUGGGGCUCAUCACAGGACACCCCAAAGUUUGGCACCUUGGUGUGCUAAGUACUUUAAAUUAAAGGAGAUUGAAAGAGCCUCAGAAACAGCCCCCUAAGCAAGGCUUUAGCCCCGUCUGGUUAAAGGAUGUAACAUCGCUGGGGACCUGAGCAAUCACUCCUCCUUCAUUGUUCUGGACAGUGGGGAGAUGCAGAGAAAGGAAAGGAGAAAAGUCACUGGGAGAGAAAUCUGAUGAGAGAAAGAUAAAGGACUCUAUGACACAAUCAAAUAUGAAGUACAAAGAAAGGAAAAAGGAAGCUUAGAAAAAGAUAACCCAAAGAGAAGAAGGAGACAAUUUGGUAGAAGAGGAAAUGAGACAGACAGCCCAAGUGAACUAAGGGGAAAAGGAGGGAAAAACCGAGAAGGAAGAAUAAAAAGAGAAGGUGGAAAAGAAAAAAAAAUGGAAGAGUGCCAGGCUGGUGGAGAAACAGAUAAGAGCUCCACAGGUAGAGUGCGAAAAUAUAAACCUGAGGGAUAGAUAACACACCCAGGGCUCAAUGAUACACUAACCGUUGUGAGCAAGACAGAUGGUUAAUGACCCUACAAAUGGGAGUGCAAGAGAGUUGCAGUAAUUCGAUAGAUUGAUACUUAAGAGAUCCACGUGGUUCCAUUGAUUCAUUUCCUUCAGGCCAGCUUCCUUAUCAAUAUAAUUAUCAUGGCCAGCACCAGAGGUGUCUCCAGGUAAUUUGUAAGAGGUGGAUAACAGGAUCAUCCUCAAGGCUGAUUUAGUGCCUUGUUAAUGAGGUGCUCACUCCCCUCUAGGGAGGCCUGCAGGGAGAGACUUGGGUCACCCAGGUUGGCUGAAGCUUGUGUCCCAUCCAAAGUUGUUUUUCUUUUCCUCUGCCUCCCCUACAUGACCUCCUCUUACUUUUUGCAGGACUGGGAGGAAGGACUGGGAAGGUGAGAAGGAAAAGAAGUAGCCAGAAGGUACCCACAUGCCUUUGAGCUUUUUUCUUUUUGUUUUUCUGGAGUCAAAACGGAAUGGAAAAGACCACCAUGAGGCAGAGGGGCCUCAGGAAAAAAAAAGCAGUGUAGGAGGGAGAAUGAAAUGAGUGUGUAGGUCGUUGGGCAGGGAAGGAGAAGUGACCUCCCAGGGGCUGGGUGGCUGGUGCCAUAUUUGGAUUUUCCAGCUUCUGCCAUUCGUGGUCCCCACUCUGUCCUUAGGGGUGAUUUAUAAACCAGAAUUAUGUCUGUGGAAAAUGACACUGGCUUUUUUUUUUUUUUUUUUUUAGUUAGAAUUCGUUUAAAAAUAGUUUCCUCCCUGCCGUUGGGAUGCUCUGUCACUUGGAGAAAGAGGGUAAUUAUGAAAGACGAGGGUGUAAUGUGAUUACAGCCGGCCCCAUUGUGUCAGUGGAGGCAGCACAGAGCUGCUGGGAGAACUCGGAGCCAGCCCCUCUCCAUCAGCGCUGGGCCUUUAUUGGGCCUGUCAGAUUUCUGAAAAGAACCCGAGGGCAGAAAACUCCCAGCAGACAGGACUCCAUGGCUGGCCCAAAGCUGUCAACAAGGACAUGGAAUGGUGUGGGAGGAUGUGCUGGGCCAGCCCGGGUGCUGCCUCCCACCAGGCCUGGCUGCCCAACGCCCCUGACCAUGUGCUCUCUGAUGUAUCCCCAUGUGGGAAUCUGCAGGAAGGGUCUUUGGUUCAGAACCUAACAGAUCCACACUCAUUUUUCAGCACAGGCUGUCAGCCAGUGUGUUUGUGGCUUCAUGUCAGUAUGGAUUAGGAGAAACCUCAGUGGCUGUUAUAUGGGACCUGACUUCUAGUCUUUUCCUCUGAUUCUGCCUUGUACUACCUGGGAGAACUCUAACUGACAUUACCUUUCACAGAGAUUUCUUCUUCAUCUGGAAAAUGGGAUCUUGAGUAUCAAUCAAGGGAAUGAUACCAAGGGAAUAAUGAAAAUAUCAUGAUCAGAAGUGAAGACUGGAAGUGAGGGCUACUGAUGGAGGUUAACACCACCAAUGUAUCUUCUUCCAAGACUUGAGAUCUUGUUUCCCCAACUGGCAAGAUAUAAGAAGGCAUCAUGGGUGAGCCUCUGCCUGUGAAGAGGGGGCCAGGGAUAUGGGGUUCCUGGGUGGGAGUGUUGAAGCAGGGCCUGCACAUCACAGGUGGAGGAGGCAUCCACAGAGGAUGAUGUCCCAGAGGCAGGUCUGCAAGGAGUCCUCUAAGUGAAUGGCAACAUUGCUCCUUGAGAAGCUGACCCUAUAGUAAAGAACUGUGAGAAUUGUCUGGUAAAAGCUGAUGGGCAAAAGUAGCCAAAGGAUACAAGGAUUGGCUGGUCCCAUUUUCUGGGCACUGCAUGAGAAAAGACUGGAACGUCUGUGUUAGAAGUAAUAGCAGGUAGCCCUGCACCAAGGAAGACACAGAAGAAAACCCUCAGCUCCAGAAAGAGGAAUCCAAAACUUGCCCGGGCAGCAAAAGUCACCCCUAAGGAUAGAAAAUGGGCACCCUGAGACACCUGCAUUACAUUUUCCUUUCCUUUCUUUCUAUAGCCUUCUCUUUAUUUCCCCCUUCUUAUUUCCCAUUAUCUUUCUUACUCUCCUUUCUUACCUUCCUCAUUUCAUUUUCUCUUCCCUCUAUCCUCCAUCUUUCUUUUCCCUUCUUCUUUCAGUCUUCCCAUUAUUUCAAGGCUGUUCCUCCUGCUGAGUAUUUUUUUAUAUUGCUUUAGUUUCCACGAUAUUGUAUUAGGAGCCUAGGGGCAUUUGCUCUGCUCCUUAUAUGCUUAUAACCUAACUGGAACUGAGACUGCUAGACUUCACCCAAUACUGGCCCUCCUCUUCUCUCUUGGUGGCAAACACGUAAUGUGAUUUGGGACCACAUUGCAUCCAGCUUGAAGACUGCAUUUCCGUCUUUCCUGUUAGGAGUGGCAAGGUAAUCAAGGUAGAGCCAAUGAGAUGUAAGUUGAUUAUAAUGUGGGACUCUGAGAAAGUUGACCAGCUGUGAAAUAUAGGCGCUGACCAGCUGAUAAUUGCACCCUUUUUGCCCUUUCCACUUCCUUCUUCCUAUUAAUUGGAGCAUGAGCAUGAUGGUUGGAGCUCCAGAAGCCAUCUUGGACCAUGCAGUGAAUGUGAGGAGGAAACUACACAAUCUGAGGAGUAAAGAGCAAACAGAAGGAGCCUGGGGUCAUGCUGACACUGUGUCCACAAUACUAAUCCUGGACUGGAUGUCUCUGGACUUCCUAUACAUUGUUUAAGCCACCAAUACCUCCAGUCUCUGUGAUUAUAGCUGAACUCAGCACUAAAUGAUUCAAUAACCUCAUCAAAAAAUACUUCACAUGCUCCACUAUCCCCUGCUAGAUCAUUUCCUCUUCUGUCUUCACUAUCAAGUAGGAUUUGAUGCUUUGAGGGUAGCCUGGGCACCAUCAAGUUAGACAGCUCAUCUUAAGCAACGUAGCAUCUCUCACUCUGUUCUCCAUCCAAGAAACCCUUCACAGAAACAACAUGGGACUUUGGGGAGUUAGGGGAUGUCACAGCUGAAGGCCUGUGUCCUUUGUACUUGCAGUAGAGCCUCCUACACAAGUGUCAUACGGAGAAGUGAAGACAAUCUGUCUGAGGCUGUCAGCUACUGUCCAGGAACUUGGGCAAGGCAACAAUUUAUGAGAUGCCUUUAACUCUGGGUGCAGGAGAGGGCUUCAUCAAACAGACUUUGCUGGCUGUGUUGUAUGUACAUUCACAAAGUAAUUUACAGUUCCCUUGGAAACAUGAAAAAGUUUGGGUCUAAAUUUAGAGCGUUCACUCUGAGCUGAUGUAAUAAGCUCAAAGAAUAUUCAGAAUGAAGAAACAUGGGACAAUUCACCCAUCAAUUUAUAAAUAUCAAAUCCAUCCAUUGCGUCACUGAGACCACAGUUGCUCCUUCAGGAGGUUAGUACCCCACCUGCUUCUCACAGUCAGGGAACAGAGGGGAAGUAACUACUUUUCUGCCUGCUCCAGGAACUCUAGUCCUCAGUGCAUUAUUUUCUGGUUUACUCCUUUGCCUUCUCAGUUGUGUGAGGCCCCAUGACAUUUGCCAUCUGUCUUCUGUUAAAUUUUCUUGCAAAGUGUCUCAGUGUGUGGCCCCAAGGAACCAGCAGCAUGCAAAGCUCUGGAUGUGGCCAGAUUGCAUUUUCAAGAUUCAUCCACAUGCUGGUUUCCUAGGAAGGUUCUGACAGCCUGUGAGGUAAUGCACAUCCAUUUCCAGAGAGCAGGCGUGAGGCAGAGCACUGGAAGGAAUAAAAGCACCAGAGAAGCGCCACCUUUUUUUGUUAACAUAUGGGCUUUUGACUGUCCCUGGGAACACAAUUCCUUCCCUGGGCCUGAUAAUUGAUCACCUCUUGCCUGAAUUGGGGAUGAGUCCUCCAACUGAUCUUGCUCGGCUUCCUGCCUGUCGCCCUCCCAGCCAUUCUCCAGACGGCUGGAGAGAGGAGCCGGCCAGCACCGCGGCUGCUCACUGGCACCCCCUGCUGGGCUGUAACACUGUGACCUUCCCGCCAUUUGCCCUGCAGUUCCUUACUUUCACCACACCACACACACCUUACCUCACAAACUCCUUAAUUUUGAGGCUCUGAUAUCACCUCUUCCAGGAAGUUUUCCAUAAUUCUCACCAUGAUUCUGGGGUAAUUGCUUCUCCUUUUCACUCCCACAGCCAGCACUCUAUCAUUGCACUUUUAUGUUGCCUCGGUAAUCUAUUUUUAUAUUUCUGUCUUCUCUGUUAGACUGUGAGCUCCUUAAGGACAAGGACUGAACUGCGUUGGGAAAGUGUUGGAGGGUUAUAGCAGAGGAAUGACAUGAUCUGACCUACGUUUUGAAAGAUCACGCGGCUGCUUAUGGAGAAUGGUCUCGUGAGUUGGGGAGGGGCGCAAGUUGGAAGUAGAAAGACCAGUUAGAAGGCAGAUGAGACAUGAUGGUGGCUUGGACCAGGAUGGCAGUGGAAGCACAAGUAUGUCACGGUCAGAUUCUAGACCCCUUUUGAAGAAGAAUUAGUGGGAUUUGCUGAUGGAUUGAUAGUAGGUGAGAGAAAGAAAGAAGUUAAAGAUGGUGCCGGAUAUUUUGGCCUGUGGAAAUAGAAGAUUGGCAUUGCAAUAACUAUGACGGGAAAGAUCACAGAGGAUCAGGUUUAGAAUAGGGAGUAAUUAAAGGUUCAACUGGGGACAUAUAAAAUUUGAGAUAGCUAUUAGAACUCCAGGAAGUCAUGUUGAGGGGAACGUUGAAUUUAUGAAUCUGGAAUUCAGGGAGAAGUUGGGCUGGAGAUGUAAGUUUGGUGAAUAUUCAUGGAAAUGGGUGGGGUGAGCGUAGGAGGAGAAAAGAAAGAAUCUGAGGACUGAUCCCUGUGGCACUCCAGCGUUUAGAAUUUCAUUGAUGAGGAGAGCCCAGCAAAGGAGAAUGAGAAGGAGCGACUAUGGAGGUGAGAGGGGAACCAAGAGUGGAUUCAUUGAUACCAACUGAAGACCAUAUUUCAGGUGGAGAAUACAAUUCUGUUAAGAGUUGAGAAUAGAUUCAAUAAGAUCUGUUAGUCCUAUUAGAUCUUCAGUCUGAGGAUUGAGAACCGACCAUUGGAUUUGAAAAUGUGAAAGUCAUAAAUGAUUUAAGAACAGUGGAAAAUAGAUGAUACUAAUAGAGAGGAUAUCUGCUGGACUGAUGUCCUUAAGUAAGAGAGAGGGAUAAGGUCCAAUAUGCAAACGAAGGGGACUGGUUUUAGAUAAAACCUAGUCACUAGAGGAAAGGCAGAGAUAUGGCCAUAAAAGCAAACUGGUUUGUAGAUGGGAAGGUGGGAGUGGAUGCAAUUUCUCUUUUGAUUGCUUCCUUUUCUCAAAGAAAUAAGAAGCCAGGUCGUCAGCUGAGCGCGAAGGUGAGAGCAGAUGUCUUAUUCAUCUCUGCACCAUCCUCUUGUCCCCAGCAAUUAACAUGAUGCCUGGCACGUGGUUGGCAUUAACACAGGUUGGUAAAUAAGUGAAUUGGAGAUCUGCCAAAUGACUUCACGUUAGGGUUUUGGUUUUCUUUUCUGUCUUGGAGAUGUAAUUUCACUCUAGUUUUGAUCUGUUUUAUGUGUUCAGAAUAUUUGUUGGAAUUAUGCAAAAAGAGGAAGGGAUAUCAUGAUAGAAAACAACAUAUUUUUGACUAAAAAUAUAAUAGAUGAGUGAUUUCAUAUUAUAUGCAUAUAGUGUGUUUAUAUGUACAUGUACGCAUGUUACAAAUUUACCUGCUUUUACACCAACUUAAAUAUUUGUUAAUAAUACCAGAUACAAUAUAUAUUAAAUAAGAAGCAAAUCCAUUAUAGACGUUGACAACAUUCUACCAGAUAUAAAAAUACAGACACUUUCAAGAGAUUGGGAGAAGUCGGGUCCAUGCAUGACCAGCACAGCUCUGUGUGUGUGUGUGUGUUGGUGAGUGGGCUCUAGGUAGCCCCUCGAGCUACAUUAUAGAAAUCACUAUACCUCAUCUACCUAGUCCUAAGUCUGGCCUGGGUAGGACCAUGUCCUGUUCUGCCUUCCCAGCUGAUGAUUUCUGACCAGCUAUUUCUCAGUGACUUAACCUAAAAAGCUCCUAAUAUUAUAUCAUAUUGUUGAGAGAAGAACAUGAGGAAAGGCUUCUUUAAAAAAUCUAAAAGCCAAGGUGGUGGGGGUUAGAUAAGCAAGGAAGAGGAGUGUGAAUUACUAAAAAACAGAGCUGAAAAGUUAUGUAGAAGCGUGACAUAUUUUGCAUUUGGAAGUCUUCCCAACCCGAAGCUAGCUGCAGUGGUAACAGAGGGGGAAAAGCUGGCAUCUGUUGGAUGACGGUGGAGUCUCUGGGACUGCCGUGAUUUCAAUCUGUGGAGGGGCUGCCUGUUUAUCUUCUCCCAAGCAGGGGCUCUUCAAGAAUACAGCUGGUAGGCAGUGCAGUCAAUUUUAGUUUGCCUCAUUUAUCUCCUUUUUUUUAUAUCUUAUUUUUCUCUUUUAUUUUAUAUCUUAUUAUUUCUUAUUUUAGCUUUUUCCCUUCUCUCUUCCCCCUUCUCUUUCAACCAAUUCAUAGAAUUCAUUGUGAAAAGCAGGCAGCAGGACACGGAAACUAGUCUCAUAAAUUAUGACAAGAUGACCCCCCAUCAGUUUGGCUCCGAACCGCAAGAGUGGUAGGGGGCUUAAGUAGGAACAAGAUGAAAGUGAGUGGAAGUGAAGUGGUCCCAGGGUCAUGCCUGAAGAGAGGGUGGAAGACCAGAAGAGAGAUGGCUUAAAGCACUGAUAUUGAAUUUUAAGGCUCUGAAAUUAUAUUGACUGCAUUAUUGGAACAUUGAGAGUGAGAAGGUGGUCUCAAGGCCAACUCAUGCAAACAGAGGUUGCAUUUGGAAGCCCUGAACCAUGACUGGAUGUGUUUUCUGUCGAGACAGAUGCACACAGAGCAAGCAGAGGGAAGAGAAUGCUUCCACCUGCAUCUGCCCUGGCAUGCUUCAGCCAUUAGCUCUUCUCUUUCCAAGCAUUCAAACAUAUUAAAUAGGAAAAGUCUCGUCAAUUGCCCGAGACUAUAUUUAUUCAAAUCAGCCAGAAUGGGUUUCUCAAAGCAAAUGUCAACAUAUCAGAGAGGUGCAAGUGAUCUAGGAGAACACAGUCUUGAGACAACUCUGAAACAGGUUAUCACACUCAAAGACAGUUGAUACAUUUCCAGGCUCUACAAAUUUACCUAUAUUGUAUACCAUGUUGUAAAAUUUCAAUACUUUUCCAAAUGUUCAGUGCUAUUCUGGUUUUAGAAGGCUGUAAUACGUGUGGAAUGGGUUGUAAAGAUAGUAACAUAUUCACCCUUGUAUAUUUACAGCACAUUCCUGCAGGCAACUUGUAGCUCAGUGGAACAUUUACUCUGUAGUAUAAUUUUUCAAUAAUAUUACAUACAUUAAUAAAGGUAAUUUAGAAAAAGCCCCAUAAAGUCAUUUGACAUUUUUUGCAAAUUGCCAGAGUAAUAAAAAUGCCUUUACAUUAUGCUGCAAUGGAAAACUGUGCCCUUUUGCUUGAUUAAGUCCCUUCAGCGUUUACAACUAGAUAUUUGUGUGUCACUUUAUUGCCAUCUUAUUUUAAUUUGAGCUAUGGAUUUCCUGCUCUGAAUGGCGCUACCCUUAUAGUUUUGGAGAAGGGCACUCUUAUCUUGCACAGCAGGAAGAUCAGAGGCAUGAAUCCUGGCCUAGAAUGUCCUAUCUCUACUAACUGCUCGUGAUACUUAGAUUAUACCCCAGGCUCCCAGUUCAAUCAGGUUUUCCAGUCAAUGCUUAGCAAGUGUUUAUUCAUCAUCUUCUAUAUGCUUAGCUCUGGUAGUGACUGUGGGGGAUACCUAAGUAAGACUGUAGUCUGGGGUAAGAAGUUUUUAAAUAGCUUUGCUAAGGGUCUGGGGUAGAGGGUAAGACAGCCCCAGUACGUGUUUCAGCUUCCGUAGAUGAUCACUACAUUUCUCUGCUGGAACCAAGGAGAACUGUCUUAGCUCUGAGAAAGAGGAAAGACUGGGAAGAAAGAGGAGGGAGGGUCUAUGAGAAAAGAAGAUGGUGAGUUAGGAAGGAAGGAAGAAGAAAAGGGAAUGCAAAAAGACAGAUUCUGAGAUUGCUCCUUAGUUUGAGAAGUGAUUUCCUUCUUUGGAAACCUUUAGGAAGUUUUACUGUUCCUACAGAUGAUCUGGUUAGGGGUUGAUUUUUUGGGGUGUAGGAUCUGCAGAGGAAUCUGAUAGAGGACUGGAUUUCUAACUGAUGUAUGCUUAAGCCACAGGGGCUCAUAAAACCAUGUUUAUGGGAGAGCUUUAGGCUUCAUCUGGCCAUGGACUUGGGGGGUGGUCUGUGUCCAUUAAAUCUAGAUCUCUUGGAACAGGGAGGCCCCCAGCCAACUUUUGAGUUAAACCAUAAUCAGAGACUCCAAUCAAAAUACUUAUAACCAGAUCAGAAAAUUAAAACCAACACACAAAGCCAAGCCAUCUGAUAGAGACAAUAUAACAAAGUGGUACUUUGUGAGUUAUGGCUGUGCUGGUCAGGAGAGGAAGGACCCCUGCAAGAUGAGGGUGGGUUUUAAAGAGCUUCUUGAUUUCCUGACCAAGCAAUCUAAGACCCCUUUAAAGGAAUACGUGAGACUCAAUGGGGGCCUUAGAUGGUCUAAGGAUUUGGCUCAGCUGAACAGAAUUUGGGGGCAUGCAAAGAAAGAGGUGCACCCACAAACAGAUGCAUGGCAGGUAGAGGAAGUGUGGCUGGCCCACCACUGGGUUCCCUACUCCUUGGUCUAUGGUCAGAACUUUCUGGGCCCUGAUUCCUACAAAUAUGUUAGGUCCAGACUCAAACGUGUCCUUCACACACCACGUCCCAGAAAUAACAAAUACCAUAGUUCAUUCACUCAUUCAUUCAAAAAGGCGGGUAGCAUUCUUAUUGCUAUAAUUACAGUGGUAAAUAAUACAGGCAGAGUUUCCGUCCUGUCCCAUGGGAGAGACAGAGGCCUAGCCUAUAAACCCACACAAUGAGACAACUCUAAAUUGUAACUGAUAACUUGGAGAGAACCAACAGGAUGCUGUUGGAGGCCACUGCAGGGCCUUGCUGGGGAGAUGAUGUUUAAUCUGGGACCUGAAGAAAUGAUCAAGAAAAAGUCAUGAAGAGAGUAUGGGAACAGAGAAAGGAAUGACUCAGGGAGAGGGGAAAGUGUGUGUGAAGGCCAUGAGUGGGGAGUGAAUUUGAUGCUUUGGAAGAUGUUUGAAGAUCAACAUGGCAGAGUUAGUAAGACAGUAAGAAGCCUGAGACAGAGCUAGGGAGAGAGUUGGACCAGAUAAUUUAAAGCCUUGUAAGCCAAACACAGGAAUUUAGGUUCUGUGCUGACUACAAUGAGAAUUCAUCAGAAGAUUUUGAGCAGCAGUGUUAAACCUGUUCAAAGAUUUUUUUUUUUUUCAUUUCUUGGUUUCUCUGUGAAAAAUUUUAACAAUACAUUCAACACAAAAAGUGUUGACUUUACAGGCGUGUGCAAGCCGCAGUCAUCUAUGCUACAGAAAAUGGCAUAACCUGCUAAGGUUUACUCAUUACGGGUCCCGGAGCAGCCAACAGAUGGAUAAUAACAUUUAGUCACUACCGACUGGUAAUUACAGUAUGCAUUUAAAGAAGAAAUAAGUACAUUUCCUGCUUCAAGUUCUCUCUUACGAAAUGGAGAACCAAUAUCUCCCACAUUGUAUACCAGAGACGCAAUCCAUAGCCCCAGAUCUGAUAGAAAACUCCCUGAGGUUAAUAAUUCAUGCAUGACUUGUGAUUGCAGUUGUACGUUACAUCUGUUUUCAUUAGAUGUUCCCCUUUAUUGAGUUUUCACAGUGCACAUCAGCAGCCUCUAUGUGCCCCUGUUCAAAAUAAGCUGCUUGCUUUUAAAAUGUUCUGGACUAUAUAAUUUCAUCUGGGCCAUUAUGGGAAACACAUGGUUCCUGUGUGUCUGACUUUUUAAACCUUUUCACACUCUUGUCUAAGACUGUGGUUUGGAUAUUGAUCCCAAACUAUGUAGGUCUGAAGAAUCGUGGCUGCCAUUUUUUUAUGGAUGGAUUUACCCCUCCUGCUCCUCAGUGCAGAAAUUUUCUGAUCCUAAGAGGAUGGUUUCUAAUUUAGGUCAUUUUGCAAGAAGGCAUUGCAUAUACUUUGACACAAACAAAGUUCUGGUUUGCAUGCAGCCAAGAGAAUGACAGCUCAGUCAUUCAGGUCCUGAUGCUUAUACUCAGGGAGCUGCUGUAUCAGAACCAGAGUUUGGGCUCUGACCUGGCUCUCUACCAAAUCCUGGGUCAGAAGCUGGGCUCUGCCACAUCUUCCUCUGAGGGAUUCAUUGUUCCAUCCACAAAAUGGCUAUUAUUUUUUCUUUUAGUUUUCUGGGACCAGAUAGAAAUUUCUGAAAUAAGGGCUGCCUUGUAGUUAUGGGUGACAUAGUUUUAAAAACCAAAUGGAAGCUAUAUUGCUGUGAAGACACAACUCAUAUGUAUAGAUUGAUAGAUAUGUACAGACACACAAAUUAUUAAUAGUAGCCAUCUCUGGAUGGUGAUAUUUUAAUUAUUCCUUUUGUUAUUGACAUUUUCUAACUUUUUUACAAUGAACCCAAAUUAUUUGUAUAAUGAAAAAAACGUAAAAAAAAAAAUCUCAUUCUUGGUGCUCAGAGCAAGGGAACUGUAAGCCAUGGUGAGCUGAGAAAAGGAGAGAAUUAAUGGCCUUAAGACAGCCUGCAGGACCAGCCACCCCACAAGGCACUUGGGGUGUGGCUGCCUUGGACUUUGUUGUGUGUAUGUGUGUUCAUGUAUAUGUACAUGUGUGUAUGCGUAUUUAUAUGGGCAUGCAUGUAUGUGUAUUGUGUGCAUGUGUGUGUUAUAUGUAUGGGCAUGCAUGUAUGUGUGUAUGAGUUCAUGAGUGUGGGCAUGUGUGUUAUGUUUAUGUAUAUAUGUGGUAUGUUAUAUGCAUGUGCUUGUGUGUAUGCAUAUUCAUGUGUGUUUGUGUUCCAGACGCUCAAAACCAUCCCAUGCUGCCCCCUGGGACAUGAGCCCAGCAUUCUUCAUCUGGGAUCUCUCACUCUUCACUUGGGUUUCUAUCUUCUGCAAAGAGUUGCUUCUGAGGCAAUGAAGGGCUUGGCUCUGUGUGGUCAGGGAGAUGUGCGGAGCUCAACAAUAGAAAAUUCCUCAGUUAAUAUCACCAAAUUUCAUUCCGGCAUAUGUAAUAUGGGACCAAUUAUGUACUCAUGUCUUCAGAUUGUUAUGAGGAUUUAAUGAGAUAAUCCACGAGAAACCUUUAACACACUGCUUGGCAUGUAGAAAGGGCUCAAUAAAUGUUGCCUGUUAUUAUUCCUAACACUAUCAUGCUGCUCAUUGCUUUCCACUGGGAAAGGAAAAUAGACUCCUGGAUUCACUGUCCCUGCCCGUGAACAGAGGUGGUUUUGGAAGCCGUGGCAGCACCCAGUGACCUUCUCCUCAAACUCAGCUUCUCUGAAUUUGGUGAGCCCCUGAGCCCUUGUAGGUAGCCUUAUCUUACCUCCCACAUCCCGCUCUAAGGAGCCUUCAGGGAUUUUUAAAAUUUAUUUUUAAUUUUUAUUUAUUUAUUUAUUUUUGAGACAGAGUCUUACUCUGUCACCCAGGCUGGAGUGCUGUGGUGCUAUCUCAGCUCACUGCAACCUCCACCAUCUGGGUUCAAGUGAUUCUCCUGCCACAGUCUUCCAAGUAGCCAGGCCUACAGGUACGUGCUACCACGCCGGCUAAUUUUUGGUAUUUUUUGUAGAGACAGGGUUUCACCAUGUUAGCCAGGAUGGUCUGGGUCUCCUGACCUCGUGAUCUGCCUGCCUUGGCCUCCCAAAGUAUUGGGAUUACAGGCGUGAGCCACUGCGCCCUGUCACCUUCAGGGAUUUUGUAACUUCUAAGUCUGGUGGUCAGUAGCUCUCUGUGUUCCUCUACCCACCUCAGACCAGGCCAAGGUGAAUGCUCAUACGUAGCACAUGGAGACCUAGGCGUGCUGGCUCAGCUUUGGAGCAGUGGAGGCAAGUAGAAGCCACUGGAGGAAGCCAAUCAACCACACACCCUCCCAGGUCCUGGCAUCUGACCCAAGUAUCAGCCUACCAGUAUUGCCACCUGCUGACACAUUUACGUGAUAACAGAUUAUGAGAGGUUCGGCAAAGAUCCUGAACUGUCUUAUCCACAACGGUACAAACCACUUGGAGUGGAAGGAAACACUAUAUGGAAAUUGCCAUCUGCGCAAGCAGCCUGAUUAGAUGACAUCUGCAGACCUCCAUAGAACCAGCUGAUACAUUCACCCUUAGCUUGAAGUCUGGAUUAUACGACCCCACUACAAGCUGGUGGAAGGCAGACUGUGAAGGGGAUGAAGGCUCCCAUUCAGAGGCAGCUAAUGCAGCAGCCGAAAAAGAGGAAGCGGAAGUCAGCAACUGAGGACAACAGAACAGAACUAAUUCAGGAUUGUCCUGGGCAAUCAAGAUGUGUGGUCAUCUGACCUAUGUGGUGGCUCUAAGGCUUGUUGUACCUGCCUGAUUGCGUCUUCCCUGGGCCCACCAGCUCACCUGUGCUCACCCCAGUCCAGCCACACUAGCUUUCCUGAUGAUUCCUGAAUAUGCCAGGCAAGUUUAUGCACCUCCAGGUCCCUCUGCCUGGGAUGCUCUUGCUUUGGAGGGUCACAGACUUCCUCCCUCACCUCCCUCAAGUCUUUACUCAAUGUUAUUUGAGCGAAGGGCCUUCCUGGCCAGACUAUUUAAAGUGGACUGUUUCCAUAGCCUCCACUCCUUCCUUGCUUUUCUUAUGGCACGCAUCACCUUCUAACAUGAUAAGUAACUUAUUAUUUAUUUUGUCGAUAUUUUUGUGUCCCCUCACUACAAUGCAAGUUCCAUAAAGGCAAAGAUGUUUGACUGUUUUAUUUGCUGCUGCAUCCCUGAAUGUCUGCAACAAUGCCUGACACUUAGUGCCUAAUAAAUCUCCUAAGUAAAAGUAGUUGACUGGCCUCCUUAGUGAAAUAUCGUCUCAAAAUGAACAGUUCAGGCCGUUCAGCCUAAGUGUACUGAAGAAUGUUUUGCAUGAGAGAUUUUUUUUUAAGUUAGUAGCUUUUGAAAACAGCCUAGAGCCAUGUCUAAAACAAAAUGUAUGGCCCAUGUGCAGCACAAUUUUCUGUUAUAAAGUUUCCCUCCACAUCUCUUAGUAUCAUAAAUUAUUAUAGCUGGAAGAAAUCAGCUCUAAAAUUCUAUGAUUCUAAGUGACAAGCACUAUUAUGUCUUUAAAAAAUUGAAAUGAUAUAUUUUCUGGAUAGUCAAGAAAACUGGAGGUCAGGGCAAUAAGGGGAAACUGAGGAUUUGGACAAUUUAUGAAUCAAUUUCUGAGGUUGGCAGACUGUUGGCAUUUCUCCCAAUUGCUGUGGGGGGCAUUUCAAUCCCGCCUCUAGCUGCUGGAAUAAUACUACUUCCAUUUCUUUAGCUCCCCUCUAAAGUCUGCAGAUUCGGGUAGAUAAAUCGUCAGCGGUCCUUCCCAUUUCUGAGGCAUUAAGCUUAAAUCCUGUCAAGGUUCCCCAUAUAUUAAAAAUAAAACUUCUAUUAACUUUUCCCCUGUCAGAGCGAUCAGAGUUAAAUUAAUUUUUAACACUUGGGUAGAACAGCAGAAGAGAAAUGUGCCCCCAGAGCCACCAUGCAUGGGCUGCUGGUCAGUUAGGGAGACUUGAACCAUCACACUGCUGGCGGAUGCUGCCCUAACCACUAGGAUGUGUUGGGAGGGGCUCUGUUCCCAUAGACAGCGCCUCUGGCAUUAUAAAUGAUAUUGGUGGCAUCCCAGGCUACAGCCAUCAGGCCAUGUGCAGGCAGAUUGCUAAGCAAGACAUUGAGCCCUGGCCUGGGGGUAGACCACUGAGAUGGACAGCCAGCCCAGCCUGCCUGGUUUGGUCAUGUGGCAUCCUCACUCCUAGAGAAGAUGCUCUGUGACUCACCCACUGUGCCCAGGGAAAUAGCUUGUUUCUGGGGCUGAGUCUAAAGUGUGUGAGAACAUGGGCUCUACACUAGAUCUAUAAAUGAAUGUGUUUUAAUUGCUUAAAAGCUUGGAGACCUUGAGCAAAAAAAUAGAAAAAAGAGCUACUAUUGACAUAGCACUUACUUUAUCUUGGGCACUGAGCAAAGGUAUAUGUAUAUGUGUAUGCAAUAUGUCUAAUAAUAUAAUAUACUCAGUUAUAAUUUGUAAUUUUAUUAUGUAUAUAUUUGUAAAAGAGAAAGAGGUUUUCCUCACUGACUCCUCCUUCAUAUAAUUAAGUAUUAUUUUCUCACUUUUUAGAUGAGGAAUCUCAGGUCCUGGGACAAAAAUUGGUACCACAGAAGCCAUGCAACUGGCAAAUGCCAGAGUUGUUUGAACUCAUGUCUGUCUGAAUAGAAAGCAAGUGUUUUUAACCAAAUAAUGCAAAUUAUUCAAAAUCUCUGAUCCCAGGUUUUCCAUCUGUAAAAUGGGGAAAUAGUACCCACUUCACAGGCUUGUUGUCAAAAUCAAUGAAGAAAAUGUGUGUGAAGGGCUGAGCACAGAGCCUGGUGCAGAGCUUGAUAAAUGCUAGCUCUUGUAGUAGCAGUAGCAAUAACUAAAUUCCCUCUUUCUUGCAAGUCAUAAGAAGAUCUUUAUGCUCAAAUUAAUGUUAUGAUUAUUAAAAGGAUCAAUGCAACAAGAAGAGCUAACAAUCCUAAAUAUAUACGCACCCAAUACAGGAGCACCCAUAUACAUAAGGCAAGUUCUUAAUGACUUAU